rnacentral:rRNA from 1 species
UGGGGAAUAUUGGACAAUGGGCGCAAGCCUGAUCCAGCCAUGCCGCGUGGGUGAAGAAGGCCUUCGGGUUGUAAAGCCCUUUUGUCCGGAAAGAAAAGUCUUCGGUUAAUACCCGGGGAUGAUGACGGUACCGGAAGAAUAAGCACCGGCUAACUUCGUGCCAGCAGCCGCGGUAAUACGAAGGGUGCAAGCGUUACUCGGAAUUACUGGGCGUAAAGCGUGCGUAGGUGGUUUGUUAAGUCUGAUGUGAAAGCCCUGGGCUCAACCUGGGAAUGGCAUUGGAUACUGGCGAGCUAGAGUGCGGUAGAGGGCAGUGGAAUUCCCGGUGUAGCAGUGAAAUGCGUAGAGAUCGGGAGGAACAUCUGUGGCGAAGGCGACUGCCUGGACCAGCACUGACACUGAGGCACGAAGGCGUGGGGAGCAAACAGGAUUAGAUACCCUGGUAGUCCACGCCCUAAACGAUGCGAACUGGAUGUUGGGAGCAACUAGGCUCUCAGUAUCGAAGCUAACGCGUUAAGUUCGCCGCCUGGGGAGUACGGUCGCAAGACUGA